rnacentral:rRNA from 1 species
CCAGCAGCCGCGGUAAUUCCAGCUCUAAUAGCGUAUAUUAAAGUUGUUGCAGUUAAAAAGCUCGUAGUCGGAUGUCGGGUUCGGGCAGGCUGUCGGCCUCUGGUCGGAUGGCAGGCUCGGAUCUUCUUGCCUGGGGAUCCGUCACACUUAACUGUGGGGCGGUAGUUCGCAGGCCGUUUACUUUGAAAAAAUUAGAGUGUUCAAGGCAGGCUAUCGCCCUGAAUACACAAGCUUGGAAUAAUGAAAUAGGACUUUUUCCAUUUUAUUGGUUAUUGGAGAGAGUAAUGAUUAAUAGGGACAGUUGGGGGCAUUAGUAUUUCGUUGUCAGAGGUGAAAUUCUUGGAUUUACGAAAGACUAACUUAUGCGAAAGCAUUUGCCAAGGAUGUUUUCAUCAAUAAAGAACGAAAGU